rnacentral:lncRNA from 1 species
UUGAUAAUAACAUUUUCUCCAAGUAUUCAAUUUAUUCCUUGGCUUUUGAAAUACAAUUCUGAUAGUACAUUUGAAAGAAAAGAGUAAAAUAGUUCAAUAACAAAGCUAACUAAAAUAAGUUUUUGUUAAAAGAAGGUAAUACUUAUUUUGUUUUUACAGGUUCAAGGAAAAGUCAGUGGAAGUCGUUAUCCAUGUCAACAUUGAACCAAAAGAUAUUUUUUGAGUCUCAACAUG